GCAGUCUGCAACUCGAGUGCAUGAAGCUGGAAUCGCUAGUAAUCGCGAAUCAGAAUGUCGCGGUGAAUACGUUCCCGGGUCUUGUACACACCGCCCGUCACACCAUGGGAGUCGGGAAUGCCCGAAGCCGGUGACCCAACCUUAAGGAGGGAGCCGUCGAAGGCAGGCCUGGUAACUGGGGUGAAGUCGUAACAAGGUAUC
rnacentral:rRNA from 1 species